UCGGGGUGCGCAGGCGCGAAAACUUUACAAUGCUGGCAACAGCGAUAAGGGGACCUCGAGUGCCAGGAUACAAUCUUGGCUGUCGCGAUGCCUAAAAAGCAUUGCAUAGCAAGGGCCGGGCAAGACCGGUGCCAGCCGCCGCGGUAACACCGGCGGCUCGAGUGGUAACCGCUAUUAUUGGGUCUAAAGGGUCUGUAGCCGGCCGGAUAAGUCUUUUGGGAAAUCCAGCUGCUCAACAGUUGGGCUUUCAGAAGAUACUGUUCGGCUCGAGGCCGGGAGAGGUGAGAGGUACUUCAGGGGUAGGGGUGAAAUCUUGUAAUCCUUGAAGGACCACCAGUGGCGAAGGCGUCUCACCAGAACGGACCUGACGGCAAGGGACGAAAGCUAGGGGCACGAACCGGAUUAGAUACCCGGGUAGUCCUAGCCGUAAACGAUACUCGCUAGGUGUCAGCCACGGUGCGACCGUGGUUGGUGCCGUAGGGAAGCCGUGAAGCGAGCCACCUGGGAAGUACGGCCGCAAGGCUGAAACUUAAAGGAAUUGGCGGGGGAGCAC
rnacentral:rRNA from 1 species